UACGUAGGUGGCAAGCGUUAUCCGGAUUUACUGGGCGUAAAGAGGGCGUAGGCGGCUUUUCAAGUCGAAUGUGAAAUCUCCCGGCUUAACCGGGAGGGGUCAUUCGAGACUGUUGAGCUAGAGGACAGCAGGGGGAGGUGGAAUUCCCGGUGUAGUGGUGAAAUGCGUAGAUAUCGGGAGGAACACUAGUGGCGAAGGCGGCCUCCUGGGCUGUUGCUGACGCUGAGGCCCAAAAGCGUGGGGAGCAAACAGGAUUAGAUACCCGCGUA
rnacentral:rRNA from 1 species